GAUGAACGCUAGCUACAGGCUUAACACAUGCAAGUCGAGGGGAAACGAUAGAGAAAGCUUGCUUUUUCUAGGCGUCGACCGGCGCACGGGUGAGUAACGCGUAUCCAACCUGCCAUCACUUGGGGAUAACCUUGCGAAAGUAAGACUAAUACCCAAUGAUAUCUCUAGAAGACAUCUGAAGGAGAUUAAAGAUUUAUCGGUGAUGGAUGGGGAUGCGUCUGAAUAGCUUGUUGGCGGGGUAAGGGCCCACCAAGGCGACGAUCAGUAGGGGUUCUGAGAGGAAGGUCUCCCACAUUGGAACUAAGACACGGUCCAAACUCCCACGGGAGGCAGCAGUGAGGAAUAUUGGUCAAUGGGCGAGAGCCUGAACCAGCCAAGUAGCGUGCAGGAUGACGGCCCUAUGGGUUGUAAACUGCUUUUAUAAGGGAAUAAAGUGAGUCUCGUGAGGCUUUUUGCAUGUACCUUAUGAAUAAGGACCGGCUAAUUCCGUGCCAGCCGCCGCGGUAA
rnacentral:rRNA from 1 species